rnacentral:rRNA from 1 species
CCUACGGGAGGCUGCAGUGGGGAAUAUUGGGCAAUGGGCGCAAGCCUGACCCAGCAACGCCGCGUGAAGGAAGAAGGCUUUCGGGUUGUAAACUUCUUUUCUCAGGGACGAAGCAAGUGACGGUACCUGAGGAAUAAGCCACGGCUAACUACGUGCCAGCAGCCGCGGUAAUACGUAGGUGGCAAGCGUUAUACGGAUUUACUGGGUGUAAAGGGCGGGUAGGCGGGAAAGCAAGUCAGAUGUGAAAACCAUGGGCUCAACCUGUGGCCUGCCUUUGAAACUGUUUUUCUUGAGUACUGGAGAGGCAGCCGGAAUUCCUAGUGUAGCGGUGAAAUGCGUAGAUAUUAGGAGGAACCCCAGUGGCGAAGGCGGUCUGCUGGACAGCAACUGACGCUGAGGCGCGAAAGCGUGGGGAGCAAACAGGAUUAGAUACCCUGGUAGUC